UACGUAGGCAGCAAGCGUUGUUCGGAAUUACUGGGCGUAAAGGGUGCGUAGGCGGCUUUUUAAGUUUGGUGUGAAAUCUCCCGGCUCAACUGGGAGGGUGCGCCGAAUACUGAGAAGCUAGAGUGUGGGAGAGGAAAGUGGAAUUCCUGGUGUAGCGGUGAAAUGCGUAGAUAUCAGGAGGAACACCGGUGGUGUAAGACGGCUUUCUGGACC
rnacentral:rRNA from 1 species